UCCCUGGUGGCUCAGAUGGUAAAGCGUCUGCCUACAAUGUGGGAGACCUAGGUUCAAUCCCUGGGUCGGGAA
rnacentral:tRNA from 1 species